UAGGUGGCAAAACUCCGAGGCUCAGAGA
rnacentral:piRNA from 1 species